rnacentral:misc_RNA from 1 species
GAAUCGUUGGCCACCGCCACUCUAAUACGGAGUACAGUACCAUCGUCAAUGGCAAUAAAGUAAUUAAAGUGACAUAUGAUGUCGAAUUUAAUAAAUGAGAGGGUUGAGUUCGCCAUCUGAUGAAUGCUUGUUCAGGCUCAGUUCCAGCACCAAAUUCCGAGUCCAACUCACCUAACCCGUUUGGAAAUCAUUACAUUUCUCGAUCUGUCUUCCGUUGAGAAUGCAAAUGUUUUCAUCAUCCAAGCCAAACAGUUUCUCUAACUUUUGACGCAUACUUCAAAGCUAUAAUUCUCAGAAUUCUAACUAUACCCACUAAAGAAGAAGGCUAGAUGGCAGUUCCAAUAGAAGAAGCCAUUGCAGCUCUCUCUACAUUCUCUCUUGAGGAUGAGCAACCAGAGGUGCAAGGACCAGCGGCUCUGGUGUCAAGUGAGAGAGGAGCAACCGGUAGUCCAGUUGAGUACAGUGAUGUUUCUGCAUAUCGCUUAUCUCUAUCUGAGGACACAAAAGCUCUCAAUCAGCUGAAUUUGCUCAUUCAAGAAGGGAAGGGGAUGGCAUCAGUGCUUUAUACAUAUCGCAGUUGUGUCAAAGCACUUCCUCAGCUUCCUGACUCUAUGAAGCACAGUCAGGCUGACUUAUAUAUGGAAACAUAUCAAGUUUUGGACUUGGAGAUGAGUCGUCUGCGUGAAAUUCAGCGAUGGCAAGCAUCAGCUGCAUCCAAACUAGCAGCUGACAUGCAGCGCUUUUCUAGGCCCGAACGUCGUAUUAAUGGUCCUACAAUAACUCAUCUAUGGUCCAUGUUGAAGUUACUUGAUGUUUUAGUGCAACUUGAUCAUCUUAAAAAUGCUAAAGCAAGCAUACCUAAUGACUUCUCUUGGUAUAAGAGGACAUUCACACAAGUCAGUGUUCAGUGGCAAGACAUUGAUUCAAUGAGGGAGGAGUUAGAUGAUCUACAGAUUUUCUUAAGCACAAGGUGGGCUAUCUUGUUAAACUUGCAUGUAGAGAUGUUUCGUGUGAACAAUGUAGAAGACAUUCUUCAGGUUCUCAUAGUAUUUGCUGUUGAGUCACUGGAGUUGGAUUUUGCACUUCUAUUCCCAGAGAGACACAUUCUUCUGCGUGUUUUACCUGUUCUUGUUGUCCUAGCAACAUCAUCAGAGAAAGAUGGCGAGUCGCUGUACAAGAGGGUGAAAAUCAAUAGGCUAAUUAAUAUUUUUAAGAAUGAUCCAGUAAUUCCUGCAUUCCCAGAUCUUCAUCUUUCUCCUGCUGCAAUUUUGAAAGAAUUGGCAAUGUACUUUCAGAAGUUUUCUUCACAGACUCGUCUUCUCACCCUUCCAGCACCUCAUGAAUUUCCACCCCGAGAGGCACAAGACUAUCAGAGACAGUAUCUGAUUGUCAAUCACAUAGGAGCUAUUCGUGCAGAGCAUGAUGAUUUUGCAAUUCGUUUUGCUUCAUCGUUGAAUCAGCUGUUGUUGUUGAAAUCAACAGAUGGUGCAGAUAUUGAGUGGUGCAAAGAAGUCAAGGGAAACAUGUAUGAUAUGGUUGUUGAAGGUUUCCAGCUCUUAAGCAGAUGGACAGGGCGCAUCUGGGAACAGUGUGCAUGGAAAUUCUCUCGCCCAUGCAAAGAUGCGAUUCCUUCUGAAUCAAAUGGAACUUCUGCAACAAUUUCUGACUAUGAAAAGGUGGUAAGAUAUAAUUAUAGUGCUGAGGAAAGGAAGGCACUUGUUGAACUCAUUACCUACGUAAAGAAUGUUGGAUCCUUGAUGCAUAGAUGUGACACAUUGGUAGCUGAUGCCUUGUGGGAAACAAUACAUGCUGAGGUUCAAGAUUUUGUCCAAAACACUUUGGCGACAAUGUUGCGAACUACCUUCAGAAAGAAGAAGGAUCUUUCAAGGAUUCUUUCUGAUAUGCGGACUCUUUCAGCAGACUGGAUGGCAAAUACAAGCAAGACUGAAUCUGAGUUACAAUCACAUGGAGGUGAAGAUAGUAAAGGGAACUUCUUUUCUCCGAGGCCAGUCGCGCCAACAGCUGCACAGGUCCAUUGCUUGCAAUUCCUGAUAUAUGAAGUGGUAUCUGGUGGUAAUCUUCGGAAGCCUGGAGGGCUUUUUGGCAAUAGUGGGUCUGAGAUUCCUGUAAAUGAUUUAAAGCAGUUGGAGACCUUCUUUUACAAGCUUAGUUUCUUCCUGCAUAUAUUGGACUAUUCAGCAACUAUUGCAACUUUGACGGAUCUUGGUUUCUUAUGGUUUAGGGAAUUUUAUUUGGAGUCUUCUCGUGUUAUUCAGUUUCCCAUCAAAUGCUCUCUUCCCUGGAUGUUGGUGGAUCAUGUGCUUGAGUCCCAGAAUGCAGGCCUUAUUGAAAGUGUUCUGAUGCCAUUUGACAUCUACAACGAUUCAGCUCAGCAAGCUCUGGUGAUGCUAAGGCAGCGGUUCCUCUACGAUGAAAUUGAGGCUGAGGUGGACCACUGUUUUGAUCUAUUUGUUUCAAAACUCUCUGAUACUAUUUUCACAUAUUACAAGAGCUGGGCAGCGAGUGCAUUACUUGAUCCAUCAUUCCUUUUUGCCUUGGACAACGGAGAAAAAUAUUCUGUCCAACCUAUGAGGUUCACUGCUCUAUUUAAGAUGACUAGAGUAAAGUUGCUGGGGAGGACCAUUGAUUUAAGAAGCUUGAUUGCUGAGCGGAUGAACAAAGUUUUCAGAGACAAUCUUGAGUUUCUAUUUGAUCGUUUCGAGUCACAGGAUCUAUGUGCAGUAAUGGAAUUAGACAAAUUACUGGAUAUCCUAAAGCAUACCCAUGAACUGCUUUCUAAAGAUAUUUCAAUAGACUCAUUUGGUCUCAUGUUGAAUGAGAUGCAAGAAAACAUCUCACUUGUGUCAUUUUCUAGUCGACUUGCUUCUCAGAUUUGGUCAGAGAUGCAAAAUGAUUUCCUGCCAAACUUUGUUCUUUGCAAUACUACUCAACGUUUUGUCCGAUCAUCAAGAGUUCCACUUGUUCCUGUUCAAAAACCAUCAGUUCCCCAUGCCAAGCCUAACUUCUAUUGUGGUACUCAGGAGUUGAAUUCUGCACAUCAGAGUUUUGCUCGCUUGCAUAGUGGGUUCUUUGGAAUUCCCCACAUGUUUUCUGUUGUUAGACUUUUGGGAUCCAGAUCAUUGCCUUGGCUUAUCCGAGCCCUCCUAGAUCAUAUAUCAAAUAAGGUAUGCCAUGCUUUCCAAAUUUAGCUUAUUUUCAUUUCUUGAUUAGAAACAGGAUUUCCAGGAUAAUGGUAUUCAAUUCUGUUUGAAGGAUCCAUCAUCCAUUAUAUCUCAUCUCUGAUUUUUCCUUUUUUUCUAUAAGGGAUGAGCCAUGAGGGUGAGUGGAUUAUGAAUUUGGAGUAGCUAGCACCUGCAUGUUGCUAUUCUUCCGUGAUCAUCCCUUUUCAAGACAGUUUAAUCUCUUUAUUGUGGUUUUUCACCUAGCUACAUUUUUUAGAGGAUAUGUAAUUGUAUUGUUUCAUAUCAAGUACUUUGUCUAUUUAUGUCCAAACCUGUUAUUGGCUACUCUUUAGGAAGCAGCUGAAAAUUUGGCAGCAUGAGAUGUUAAGUUCUUGCAAUAUUAUGUUUUAUCUUUUAUCUGCUUCCAAAUUUUAACCAUUCUGAAUGACUUAUCUGUCACAUCCCUGCAUCAGUAUCAACACACAAUUUGUUUCCCUUCAUUAGUCUGUAAAGUAUUCCGUAGUGUCUUGCAUAUAUUGAGUUUCUAGAAGAUCAAUUUCAAUGAGAUUCAGUCUAAUUUUUCAUGUUUGGCAUGUUUCAGCUAACUACACUUGAACCCAUGAUUACGGGAUUACAAGAAGCAUUGCCAAAAUCUAUUGGAUUGCUUCCUUUCGAUGGUGGUGUUGCAGGUUGUAUGAGGCUUACUAAAGAAAAUCUUAAUUGGGGGACAAAAUCAGAGCUCAAAGCAGAGGUUCUUAGAGGGAUAAAGGAGAUUGGAAGUGUAUUAUAUUGGAUGGGGCUUCUUGACAGUGUAUUGAGGGAAGUUGAUACCACGCAUUUCAUGCAAACAGCCCCUUGGUUGGGCUUGCUUCCUGGUGUGGAUGGGCAGAUACUUCAUUCUCAAGAUGGCAGGGAUAGUCCUCUUGUCAAUCUUUUCAAAUCAUCUAUUGCUGCAAUUGUAUCUAAUCCUGGUUGUCCAAAUCCCUCAUCUUUCUUCACCAUGUCAAAGCAGGCAGAAGCUGCAGAUCUUUUGUACAAGGCUAACAUGAAUACUGGAAGUGUGCUGGAAUAUGCUCUUGCUUUUACCAGUGCAGCACUUGAUAAAUAUUGUACUAAGUGGAGUGCUGCUCCCAAGACAGGGUUCAUUGACAUAACAACUUCAAAAGAUUUCUACCGUAUAUAUAGUGGCCUUCAAAUAGGAUACCUGGAGCAGUCUGAUAAACAAUCAUUCAACUAUCAUGAAGUGCUGGGUGAUUCGGUUGCAUGGGGUGGUUGCACUAUAAUAUACUUGCUUGGUCAGCAGCUACAUUUUGAGCUCUUCGACUUUUCAUAUCAAAUCCUCAAUGUUGCUGAGGUGGAGACUGGAUCACUCUCAAAAAUGCACAGGAAUCCUCAUCUUACUCAGGGAUGGGAAACUUUAUUGGAAGCCAUGAAGAAAGCAAGGAGGUUGAACAAUCAUGUUUUCUCCAUGCUAAAAGCGCGCUGCCCCUUGGAAGACAAGAUAGCUUGUGCUAUCAAGCAAAGUGGCGCCCCUCUGCAUCGGAUUAAGUUCGAGAACACUGUUUCUGCAUUUGAAACCCUGCCACAAAAGGGUGAUUGAAAGAUUCCUGCAACCCUUUAAUACUUCAGGUCCUUUUUCUCAUCAUAUAAUGUCCAUAAUUAUGGCGUUAUCAAGCUGUAGGUGCUAAGAUGUUUCCUGAACAAUAUGUUAAAAGAGUGUGAAAUGAAAACGUAUAGUCUACCCAUAGAGGGGAAUUCUUUAACUGCCAUUUGUAUUCUAACAGAUGUCUGCGUAGUCGAAAAUGAAGUGUUGGCAUUUCAUUUUUGAGAGCUUCAGCUUAUUAACUGUGUGUGCCAGUGGGAAUGGGAUACUGCUUGCUUGUUCUGCUUUGGCAAAAAAUUGGCACUUAGCUUUCUUUCAUUCCAAGAUUUUGCAAUGAGAAAUGGGCAAAGACCUCCA